rnacentral:lncRNA from 1 species
CUGCCUCCAAAACAUCUACAACCAAAUGUUCCUCAUGCUAAUCCGCUACCAGCAUCAAUAUCUCCACGGUCUCUAUACCCCUAUGGCUCUCCACCACCAGCAUCAAUAUCCCCACAGCCUCUUUACCCCUACAGCUCUCCACCAUCAUAUCUGAACUCGUACCAAUCCCCACCACCACCGAUUCAGCUUCCUCAUGUAAAAUCGCCACCAGUUUCUUCAACAUCUCCACAGCCUCUGCACCACUACAGCUCUCCACCACCAUCGCUUCCAAACUCGUACCAAUCCCCACCACCACCGAUUCAGCUUCCUCAUGUAAAAUCGCCACCAGUUUCUUCAACACCUCCACAGCCUCUGCACCACUACAGCUCACCACCACCAUCGCUUCUGAACUCCUACCAAUCCC